rnacentral:rRNA from 1 species
ACACUCCUGCGGGAGGCAGCAGUGGGGAAUAUUGCACAAUGGGCGCAAGCCUGAUGCAGCCAUGCCGCGUGUAUGAAGAAGGCCUUCGGGUUGUAAAGUACUUUCAGCGGGGAGGAAGGCAAUACGGUUAAUAACCGUGUUGAUUGACGUUACCCGCAGAAGAAGCACCGGCUAACUCCGUGCCAGCAGCCGCGGUAAUACGGAGGGUGCAAGCGUUAAUCGGAAUUACUGGGCGUAAAGCGCACGCAGGCGGUCUGUCAAGUCGGAUGUGAAAUCCCCGGGCUCAACCUGGGAACUGCAUUCGAAACUGGCAGGCUUGAGUCUUGUAGAGGGGGGUAGAAUUCCAGGUGUAGCGGUGAAAUGCGUAGAGAUCUGGAGGAAUACCGGUGGCGAAGGCGGCCCCCUGGACAAAGACUGACGCUCAGGUGCGAAAGCGUGGGGAGCAAACAGGAUUAGAAACCCCUGUAGUCCCAUG